CGAGUCGACACAGCAAUGUGUGGCACACGGCUCAGUAACACGUAGUCAACAUGCCCAGGGGACGUGGAUAACCUCGGGAAACUGAGGAUAAACCGCGAUAGGUCACUACUUCUGGAAUGGGUAAUGACCCAAACCUAUAUGGCCCCUGGAUUGGACUGCGGCCGAUCAGGCUGUUGGUGAGGUAAUGGCCCACCNAACCUGUAACCGGUACGGGCUUUGAGAGAAGGAGCCCGGAGAUGGGCACUGAGACAAGGGCCCAGGCCCUAUGGGGCGCAGCAGGCGCGAAACCUCUGCAAUAGGCGAAAGCCUGACAGGGUUACUCUGAGUGAUGCCCGCUAAGGGUAUCUUUUGGCACCUCUAAAAAUGGUGCAGAAUAAGGGGUGGGCAC
rnacentral:rRNA from 1 species